rnacentral:rRNA from 1 species
GGCCUAACACAUGCAAGUCGAGCGCACCUUCGGGUGAGCGGCGGACGGGUUAGUAACGCGUGGGAACGUACCCUUUUCUACGGAAUAGCCUUUGGAAACGAAGAGUAAUACCGUAUACGCCCUUUGGGGGAAAGAUUUAUCGGAGAAGGAUCGGCCCGCGUUAGAUUAGAUAGUUGGUGGGGUAACGGCCUACCAAGUCUACGAUCUAUAGCUGGUUUUAGAGGAUGAUCAGCAACACUGGGACUGAGACACGGCCCAGACUCCUACGGGAGGCAGCAGUGGGGAAUCUUAGACAAUGGGCGCAAGCCUGAUCUAGCCAUGCCGCGUGAGUGAUGAAGGCCUUAGGGUCGUAAAGCUCUUUCGCCUGUGAUGAUAAUGACAGUAGCAGGUAAAGAAACCCCGGCUAACUCCGUGCCAGCAGCCGCGGUAAUACGGAGGGGGUUAGCGUUGUUCGGAAUUACUGGGCGUAAAGCGCACGUAGGCGGAUUGGAAAGUUGGGGGUGAAAUCCCGGCGCUCAACCCCGGAACUGCCUCCAAAACUAUCAGUCUASAGUU